rnacentral:tRNA from 1 species
GUUUUUAUAGUUUAAUUAAAACAUUGGUCUUGUAAACCAAAAUUAAGAAUAUUCUUUUAAAACU